CGGGGAGGGAGCGGCGACCCCGCCCCGCGCACACCCCCGGCGCCGAGCUCCGCCCCUCCCGGGGAGCCAUUGUUCCUGAGGCGGGCGGGGGCGCGGGCCGGGGUCGGGGAUCCUUCUGGCUGGUCAGACGGCGCCGAGGAUGCUGGAGAGCGCUCCGGGACUGUGUCUCAGAAGCCCUUUGUGAGCCUUUCCCACGCGCCUUCUAACCCUGCACGAGCUCAGGUGGUCUUUCGUGGGUUUUCCAGGUGGAGGUAAAGGCAAAAGGUGACUUGUCCAAGGUGGCUGAACAAGACACAACGAUGAAUAAAUGAAGACAUUCAUUACAGCUUUUGUGUAAUAGUAAAAUAUGGCUCCGUUGGUCAUCAGUGGGACUGAGAUGAGGAAGCAAAGUCCUAAUAAGGUUCAGUCCCUGAGGCUACAUCCGUAAGUUGAGUCGACUGCUUCGCGCCAGCCCUGAGGCCUCCCCACACCACAAACUCGGAGGAGGGAGUCAUCAUGUUCUGAUACAAGAUGGAGGAAAGAUUGGCACCAGCAGGGCGGCAACCAGACUCCUAGCAACAACUGAGAGAACCACUACAGUGCUGUGCUGACUGGAUGCUCUGUGGACAACAAGAUAGAAAGCGGCAGAGCUACAGAGUUCAGCAAAGGAAGCGAGUGAGAGAAAGAGAGCUGACAGUGCCCAGGUAAACGGUGUCUGCCAAGUGUUAGCUCGGCGUGGGAACCUGCAAAUCAACUCCAGACAGGUCCGGAACACCAGGAUAUAAUGUAUAGGGUCCAUGACCCCGGCCACAGUUGUCACCCAGCCUGGACUCAGCCUUCAAGUUUAUGUUCUAAUUUAGCUUCCUGGAAUGAUUUGCUCACAGGGGAAAAGUGUCAAUCAAGGGCAUGGAUUUGGCUCAUGUGGUAAUUACCUUUCUCACUCCGCACAGCACUCUUCGUUUCAGACAGUUUCUUAUGACUUUUAAUUAACAAGAGCCAGUCCCUGAGAGUUCGGUCUACUCUGGGGACACCAGCUUCAGUGUUCUGCAAGCUAAGCAGCCCGGUCCCUAGAGCACCUGUGCAGCCCUGGAGCACAGUGUGCCCUCUGCUGACUGCAGUGAGCUUCCAUAUAAAGAGGUCACUUCCUGUCUUAAAAGAGUCGGGGACUGUUGAAAACCCAUCUCUGAACAUUUAUUUGCACUUGGGGACACGACAUACCCCUUGAGGCCAACCUUCUGAAACUACAAGUUAUCAUUACAACUUUGAUUAUA